AGUUUAGCUAAUGUUGCCCGUACCGUAAACCGACACAGGUGGGUGGGAUGAGUAUUCUAAGGCGCGUGGAAGAACUCUCUUUAAGGAACUCUGCAAAAUAGCACCGUAUCUUCGGUAUAAGGUGUGGUUCGCUUCGUAUUAGGAUUUACUCCGAAAGCGAAGAAACUUACAACAAAGAGUCCCUCCCGACUGUUUACCAAAAACACAGCACUCUGCUAACUCGUAAGAGGAUGUAUAGGGUGUGACGCCUGCCCGGUGCUCGAAGGUUAAUUGAUGGGGUUAGCAUUAGCGAAGCUCUUGAUCGAAGCCCGAGUAAACGGCGGCCGUAACUAUAACGGUCCUAAGGUAGCGAAAUUCCUUGUCGGUUAAAUACCGACCUGCAUGAAUGGCGUAACGAGAUGGGAGCUGUCUCAAAGAGGGAUCCAGUGAAAUUGUAGUGGAGGUGAAAAUUCCUCCUACCCGCGGCAAGACGGAAAGACCCCGUGGACCUUUACUACAGCUUGACACUGCUAUUUGGAUAAGAAUGUGCAGGAUAGGUGGGAGGCUUUGAGUAUAUGACGCCAGUUGUAUAUGAGCCAUUGUUGAGAUACCACUCUUUCUUAUUUGGGUAGCUAACCAGCUUGAGUUAUCCUCAAGUGGGACAAUGUCUGGUGGGUAGUUUGACUGGGGCGGUCGCCUCCCAAAUAAUAACGGAGGCUUACAAAGGUUGGCUCAGAACGGUUGGAAAUCGUUCGUAGAGUAUAAAGGUAUAAGCCAGCUUAACUGCAAGACAUACAAGUCAAGCAGAGACGAAAGUCGGUCUUAGUGAUCCGGUGGUUCUGUGUGGAAGGGCCAUCGCUCAAAGGAUAAAAGGUACCCCGGGGAUAACAGGCUGAUCUCCCCCAAGAGCUCACAUCGACGGGGAGGUUUGGCACCUCGAUGUCGGCUCAUCGCAUCCUGGGGCUGGAGCAGGUCCCAAGGGUAUGGCUGUUCGCCAUUUAAAGCGGUACGCGAGCUGGGUUCAGAACGUCGUGAGACAGUUCGGUCCCUAUCUGCCGUGGGCGUAAGAAGAUUGAAGAGAUUUGACCCUAGUACGAGAGGACCGGGUUGAACAAACCACUGGUGUAGCUGUUGUUCUGCCAAGAGCAUCGCAGCGUAGCUAAGUUUGGAAAGGAUAAACGCUGAAAGCAUCUAAGCGUGAAGCCAACUCUAAGAUGAAUCUUCUCUAAGCUCUCUAGAAGACUACUAGUUUGAUAGGCUGGGUGUGUAAUGGAUGAAAGUCCUUUAGCUGACCAGUACUAA
rnacentral:rRNA from 1 species